rnacentral:rRNA from 1 species
AACGGCAGCGGGUCGUAGCAAUACGAUGCCGGCGAGUGGCGCACGGGUGCGUAACACGUAUGCAACCUACCUCAAACAGGGACAUAACAUCGAGAAAUCGGUGCUAAUAUUCCAUAACAUUAUUGAUUGGCAUCAGUUGAUAAUUAAAGCUACGGUGGUUUGAGAUGGGCAUGCGUCCCAUUAGUUAGUUGGCGGGGUAACGGCCCACCAAGACGUCGAUGGGUAGGGGCUCUGAGAGGAUAACCCCCCACACUGGUACUGAGACACGGACCAGACUCCUACGGGAGGCAGCAGUAAGGAAUAUUGGUCAAUGGGCGGAAGCCUGAACCAGCCAUGCCGCGUGCAGGAAGACGGCCUUAUGGGUUGUAAACUGCUUUUAUACGGGAGUAAACUAACCUACGUGUAGGUUAUUGCAAGUACCGUAUGAAUAAGCAUCGGCUAACUCCGUGCCAGCAGCCGCGGUAAUACGGAGGAUGCAAGCGUUAUCCGGAUUCAUUGGGUUUAAAGGGUGCGUAGGCUGGCGCUAUAAGUCAGGGGUGAAAAGCAUAGGCUCAACUUAUGCACUGCCUUUGAUACUGUAGGCCUAGAGUGCAAAUGAGGUUGGCGGAAUGUGUAGUGUAGCGGUGAAAUGCAUAGAUAUUACACAGAACACCGAUAGCGAAGGCAGCUAACCAAGAUGCAACAGACGCUGAGGCACGAAAGCGUGGGGAUCAAACAGGAUUAGAUACCCUGGUAGUCCACGCUGUAAACGAUGAUUACUCGCUGUUGGCGAUACACAGUCAGCGGCCAAGCGAAAGCGUUAAGUAAUCCACCUGGGGAGUACGAUCGCAAGAUUGAAACUCAAAGGAAUUGACGGGGGCCCGCACAAGCGGAGGAGCAUGUGGUUUAAUUCGAUGAUACGCGAGGAACCUUACCUGGGCUUGAACGUGUGAUGCAAUACCGGGAAACUGGUAGUCCCUUCGGGGCGUCAUGCGAGGUGCUGCAUGGUUGUCGUCAGCUCGUGCCGUGAGGUGUUAGGUUAAGUCCUGUAACGAGCGCAACCCCUAUACUUAGUUACCAGCACGUAGCGGUGGGGACUCUAAGUAAACUGCCUGCGCAAGCAGAGAGGAAGGUGGGGAUGACGUCAAAUCAGCACGGCCCUUACGUCCAGGGCCACACACGUGCUACAAUGGCCGAUACAGAGGGCAGCUACCUGGUGACAGGAUGCGAAUCUCAAAAGUCGGUCUCAGUUCGGAUCGGAGUCUGCAACUCGACUCCGUGAAGUUGGAUUCGCUAGUAAUCGCGCAUCAGCCAUGGCGCGGUGAAUACGUUCCCGGGCCUUGUACACACCGCCCGUCAAGCCAUGGGAGUUGGGGGUAC